rnacentral:rRNA from 1 species
AGAAGCAAUAAUGUUAAUAUGAGUAACAAGAAAAUUUUCUCCCUGCAUGAGUGUAUAUCAGAACGAAUGAUGCACUGGUAGUUAACAAAUACAGACAUAACUAGCUAACUAAAAUCUUAAUACAACUGUUAGUCCAACACAGGCAUGCACCAAGGAAGAUUAAAAGAAGUAAAAGGAACUCGGC